UUCGCGGGCCGGCGUUGUUCGUCAGCAGCCUCCAAUCUAUAAAUAUCCGUCAGCAUCGCGAGCCUCGAUCUCGCCCGGCUGCUCAAAAAGCGAUCACAUGACUAUAUAGGCGUCGGAGAUGGCGGCUGCAUCUGAGUGUCCGUUGGUGCUGGUUACUGGGGCGACAGGGUACAUUGCAUCCCAUGUCAUCAAACAGCUGCAGGAGGCAGGGCACAUGGUGCGAGGCACAGUGCGAAGCCUGUCAGAUGAAGCCAAAAUCAAACACCUGCAAGAUCUUGCCCUGAAGCUACCUACAAGCUGGAACUAGUAGAAGCAGAUCUGACAAAACCAGAAUCUUGGGAAGCAGCAGUAAAAGGCGUAGCUUAUGUCAUCCAUGUGGCAAGCCCCUUCCCCAACUCCCAGCCUAAAGAUGAGAAUGAAGUUAUUCAACCUGCUGUUGAAGGCACUCAGAACAUCUUAAAAGCCUGUGUUGCUGCCAAGACAG